rnacentral:rRNA from 1 species
GAACUUGGCAGAGAUGCCUUGGUGCCUUCGGGACCUCUGAGACAGGUGCUGCAUGGCUGUCGUCAGCUCGUGUUGUGAAAUGUUGGGUUAAGUCCCGNAACGAGCGCAACCCUAUCCUUGUUGCCAGCGAUUCGGUCGGGAACUCAAAGGAGACUGCCGGUGAUAAACCGGAGGAAGGUGGGGAUGACGUCAAGUCAUCAUGGCCCUUACGAGUAGGGCUACACACGUGCUACAAUGGCGCAUACAAAGAGAAGCGACCUCGCGAGAGCAAGCGGACCUCAUAAAGUGCGUCGUAGUCCGGAUCGGAGUCUGCAACUCGACUCCGUGAAGUCGGAAUCGCUAGUAAUCGUAGAUCAGAAUGCUACGGUGAAUACGUUCCCGGGCCUUGUACACACCGCCCGUCACACCAUGGGAGUGGGUUGCAAAAGAAGUAGAUAGCUUAACCUUCGGGAGGGCGUUUACCACUUUGUGAUUCAUGACUGGGGUGAAGUCGUAACAAGGUAGGCGUAGCGAG